AAUUUAUAUCACCUGUGGCUCUGGCCCAUGGCUAUAUAUAUGAGAAAGCACUUCUGACUUUUUUUUUUUUUUCUUCUUUUCCUUGUUUGAAUGCUCCUGUUAAGGGAGAGAAGGAGACCUAGUAGGUUACUGGUGACCACUAUUCCAAAAGAAGCAAGGAUCUGAUUUUUAAAAUCAUCAUGAGUGCUAACAGCCCUGAAUGUCAAUGUGUUUCUUUGCAAGCACAUGGUGCUGCCCUUCAGAAGGAGCCAAGGCAUGCACGCAACUGCAAUGUCUCAUUGCCUGGAUGGCAGAAAAGGCUCUGCACUUGUCAGGGUGUCUCAGUGACAAGGUAGAGCUGUGCAGUGAUGGUGGCACCGUGUUUGUGAGCGAGGGGAGGCUGCUGCUGUGCACGUCCAGCCCUCCUGGCCAUGCUGAGGGGGAACCAAACUGCUGGGAAUCCAGCAGCAAACAAAAGCAGGAAGUUUGCAAAUGUCUCCUUCAAUGAAAGGAUGCAACAAUUUGCUUUCUUUAGUAUUAAAAGGAGGAGAAUGAAUGGCCUAAUUUUUGUUUUGGGAUGAAGAGGUAAUAACAAAGAACAGGCCAUCCACUGUUUAAUUCUCUGUAGCUGUUGGUCACAAAAAAAUUGGCUGAUAUUUAGAGGAAGGUAAGAUUAGGCUGGAUAUUAGGGCAGAAUUUCUGGCUGCUGGGCUGGUGAAACAUGGAAUAGAUUGUCUGGGUGUGAGUAGAAAUCUCCUUGAUGGAAAUUUGGAAAACGAAGUCGGAUCUCUGCUGUUUGGAGACAGGUCCAUCCAGCUCUGGGGCUGGGCUGGUGCUCUGCUCUCAUCUGUCUGCUCAUGGGGCUCUGUCCUAGGGCAAGGCCAGGCAAACACAGCAGAGAGACCUUUCUGUGACACAGCAGGAGUGGAUCUGACCCUCAGUGUGCAAGACACAUUUCUGGCUGGGAGUUAAGGCAUGGCUGGAGAAUGGUGUCUGUCUGCCCUGCUCUACAGAGCUAAUCCAUCUUCUGCUGAAGCUACUUUUAUUAGAACUUUGUGUUAUGAAUUUACACUACCAUGUUUAUCUUACUGUUCUUAAACAAACCAAAGAUCUAGCAGGGCUUUGGCACCACCUUCCUCAAUCCUAAAUGUUUUAAUGUAAAAUAUCACUGUGGUGCCUCAGAGUGCUUGUAGUUCAGUGUCUCACAUCACUAGCCUUUGCAUGAUCAGUGCAUCCCUCAGAGCUCUGCAACCAGAAAUUCCCUCUCCUGUCUUCUGGUAGUUGCCAUGGUGGCAAAAGUAGAAAUGGAAAAGAAAAUGAGAAAGGGAAAUAAAGUUUCUAGAGAAUAUUGCAUAGCCUCUUAGUCUCAUUAUUUUGAUUUCCAUUGAAAUAUAUGUUGCUUAAAUUAAAAAAAAAAAAAAACAACAAGGUAUGAAAUAUAGAAACAUUCCUGUGGGUGUUAAAAUGUAUUUUAUGAUAUACCUGCAGAUUCACAGAGAAAUUUUUUGU